rnacentral:pre_miRNA from 1 species
AGCCUUUUGUAUCCGUGCUGAGAUUUCUUCACACACCAGACCACAAGGGCUGAUGAGACUUCCAAGAUAAAUGAAUCG